AUUUUUAUUAUUUUCGGAUGCAUUAAAUUUAAUGCGAAUGCAUUAAUUUAUAUAGCAGAUGCAUUGAUUUUAAUGGUUUGUUCUCACGAUAAGUGUGGUUCUCAUUAUAACCACACCCUAUAUAUGUGUAUAUAUAUAUAUAUAAAGGUUUGGUAUUAUUUUUUUUUUUUGAGGAAAAGGUUUGGUAUUUUUAGUACUCUGUAGUCUGUACAUUUCGGUUCUUAUUUUGGAAAAAAAUAAUUUGCUUAUUUUGGCUAAAGCUAUGGUCAGACUAUUUAUUGGAUCGUCCGUCAUCUAAAUGAUAGUAAUAUAUAUACAGCACCGUCCAAUUAAUUCUACCGCAUUUGACCGAAAAUCUUAGAUUUGGAGGCUUUUUUGACAAGUUUUUUCACAAAUAAAUUUAAAAUUAG
rnacentral:lncRNA from 1 species